rnacentral:rRNA from 1 species
AAUGAACGCUGGCGGCAUGCCUAAUACAUGCAAGUCGAACGGCCACACGACCUGCUUGCUCCUCUUACGUUCGCGUCGGGAAGGGGAGUAUAAUGUGGCUAAACUUCCUUUAUAACUGGGAUAACCUUAGGAAAACUUACCUUAUACCCGCUAAUAUAUUGAACAGCAAAGUUGGGUACCUUAGGACCGUUUUCCUGUCACUCAUCCCUGGAUCCGCGUCGCAUUAGCUAGUUGGUAAGGUAACGGCUUACCAAGGCAACGAUGCGUAGCGGACCUGAGAGGGUGAUCCGCCACACUGGAACUGAGACACGGUCCAGACUCCUACGGGAGGCAGCAGUAGGGAAUCUUGCGCAAUGGGCGAAAGCUUGACGCAGCAACGCCGCGUGAGUGAAGAAGGCCUUCGGAUUGUAAAACUCUGUUAGUAGGGAAGAACAAAUGUGUAAGUAACUAUGGUCGGCUUGACGGUACCAAAAUAGAAAGCAACGGCUAACUACGUG